GCUGGGCGGGCCCCGCGGGGCGCCGGGAUGCCACUGCUGCGGGCCUAUCUGCAAGCUAUUCUUGACCGCCUUGGGCGCUCUCAGUUGUUCCCACUGCCCCGUGCCAGCCCCCGCGCCCAGACACCGGAAAGGUGGCACGCGAGCCCGCCCGCGCUUUUGUUUGCCGGCCGCUUGAGGAACCUCUGCGACUCUCGGGGUCCCCUCUCCCGUCUGUCAACUUUCUGCCUCCUUUUCUGAACCCGGCAGGAGAGUUGCUUCCCUUCCCGUGGGAUACACGAGGGCCCACGCUUCAUCAGUAAACUGAAGUUGAGGCUGGGAUGCUUGCCCUUGGCCACCAUGAUGUUGAAGAGGCCCAGCCUACCCAGAGAGAGCAUGUGUGAAUACAAGCCUCUCUAGAUGGUUCUGGCUGCUAAGCUUCUUUCUGUUGAUAUCCACAUGCCAUGAGGAAAAGCCAUCCUGUCUGUGCCUCCUGUGAAAUCCUGACUCACAGACACUCAGAGAUCUCUAAAGCCAGCUCAGGCUAGAUUCAAACUCUGGCUCCUCCUGUCUCCACCUCCCAGGUGCUGGGAUGAUGCAUAUGCACCAUUAUACCCAGGACACUUAGGAAUGGAUGGAGCCCAGGAGGAUAAUUCAGGCUCAUCUCUUCACUUCAAGGUCAUCGGAAUUAGCACUUUUAAUUCCACCUGCCUCCUAGACUCCCCUGUGCCACAUAACGUAACACAAGACCAGGUUCCAGAGGGGCUGGGCUAGGACAUCUGUGGAGAAUAGGCCCACUGUUCUGUCCAUGAAGCAUUAAUAAACUCUCCA